rnacentral:rRNA from 1 species
AUUCCAGCUCCAAUAGCGUAUAUUAAUGUUGCUGCAGUUAAAAAGCUCGUAGUUGGAUUUCUGGUAUGAUGCGCCUGGUCCGCCCCGUUUAGGUGUGUGAGUACCGGUGCGCGUCUGCCAUCCUUCUAGAGAGCGUGUCUACCCUUCACUGGGCCGGGCACGUCAUCUGGAUCGUUUACUUUGAAAAAAUUAGAGUGUUUCAAGCAGGCAUACUCGCUUUGAAUACAUUAGCAUGGAAUAAUAAGAUAGGACUUGGGUUCUAUUUUGUUGGUUUCUAGGACCGAAGUAAUGAUUGAUAGGGACAGUUGGGGGUGCUAGUAUUCCACGGCCAGAGGAGAAAUUCUUGGAUUCGUGGAAGACUAACUAAUGCGAAAGCAUUCACCAAGGAUGUUUUCAUUA